rnacentral:rRNA from 1 species
UGGCGCACGGGUGAGUAACACGUGAAUUAUCUACCUCCGAGUGGGGAAUAACCUAGAGAAAUCUGGGCUAAUACCGCAUAACACUUACGAGUCAAAGCAGCAAUGCGCUUGGAGAGGAGUUCGCGGCCGAUUAGCUAGUUGCGGGGUAAUGGCCCACCAAGGCAAUGAUCGGUAUCCGGCCUGAGAGGGCGCACGGACACACUGGACUGAAACACGGUCCAG